UACGGAGGGGGCUAGCGUGUUCGGAAUUACUGGGCGUAAAGCGCACGUAGGCGGCUUUGUAAGUUAGAGGUGAAAGCCCGGGGCUCAACUCCGGAAUUGCCUUUAAGACUGCAUCGCUAGAAUUGUGGAGAGGUAAGUGGAAUUCCGAGUGUAGAGGUGAAAUUCGUAGAUAUUCGGAAGAACACCAGUGGCGAAGGCGGCUAUCUGGACGGUUUCUGACGCUAAGACGCGAAAGCGUGGGGAGCAAACAGG
rnacentral:rRNA from 1 species